AAGAAUGAGGAUCCUCAUAAGCUCGUCUUCAGCAACUGAGACAACAUUGCUUCCAGUGACCUCUGCAACCGUCAGUCCAGCAUCAGCUGCCGCCUCGAGAUCAAUGUGGUCGGAGCCAAUUCCGGCGGUUAGAAGGAGUUGCAAAUUUUUUGCCUUCUUGAUCCUCUCAGCUGUAACAUAGGCCGGAUGGAAUGGGGUAGAUAUCAAAACAUGCAGAUCCGGAAUAUGUUUCUCGAGUUCACUGCCGGGACCAUCUUUGUCAUCAGUGACGAUGUACUGAUGCCCCUGAGAUUCCAACCAGUCGCGAAUCCCCAAGCCGCCCUCAACACACCCUAAGAAGUUGGGGUUCUUCUCGGCGUACUCGCCGGCCUUGUAGAACACCCCAACGAUCUUCUUGCUCCCCGGAGUUGCGUGGAGAUGCCUCGAUUGGAGCGAUCGUAAGGCUCUGCUUGCAGCUGUCCCCAACAUGGUUGCUUGA
rnacentral:misc_RNA from 1 species